UGGCAUUAUACGCAUUCCGCCUCCCUUUAGCAGGCCCUGGGCCUUGAUAUUUGGUUAUAAUCCGGCGCUAAAUCUGUGGCUAAAGUGCAGCUCAUUUUUAAACCAGUAGGGCCGGAAAUCGGCCAAAUCCGUUAUAAAUCAAAUAAUAGGACCGAGAUAGGGUCGGAGUGGUGUUACCAGGUUGGAGCAAGAGUCCACUCUUAAAAGAACGCUGGACUUCCAAAUGUCAAAAGGGCGUAAAAUCCGUCUAUCAGGCCUGAAUGGCCCCCCUACGUUGAACUCUCACCCUUAUCAAGUUUUUUUGGGGGUCGAGGUGCAGUAAAAGCAAUAUAUCGGACCCCUACAGGGAGCCUCUCGAUUUAGGACYUUGGCGGCGAAAGCCGGCGAUUCUGUGCGAGAAAGGAACGGAAAAAACCGAACCCGAGUUGUUGGGGAACKCUUGGCUGGAUCACCUCCUUUCUAAGGUUGUUCAAGAAUUGGGCUUUUUAAAAAAUCCCUCCCUUUUUGAUCUCAUUAGACACAAAGUUUGAACUUGAGUGAGUUUAAACUGUGCAUAUGACGCUAACUCUCAAUGUAUCCCUCUCACCAAAAAGAGACCCCUCUUGGUAACAAAGAGGAUCCCCCCCCGUCUCUUUGAGGCCCCUACCUCUGUUGAGAGAACUAUUUGAGGGUUUAGCCCUCCUGUGUUGACGAUAUAAAAGCAGACAUGCCGUCUUCGUUUCUCUUUCUUCAGAUGAUGAUCCCAAGCCUUCUGGCGAUCUCUUAAAAUAAAACCCUAUCUGUCUUCAACGAACAGAACGUUUAGACAUAUGUUUAAAUUCUUAUGAUCCUUUACAAAUCAUGAAUUUAAAAAAGGCUUUAUAAAGACAGCACUCUAAGCUUUUCCAGUGAUUUAAGAUGAUACCGGGGAAGGUUUUCCGGUUUGUCCCGGAGGGCUGUAGCUGCAGUUGUAGAGCCCCCCUU
rnacentral:misc_RNA from 1 species